CCCCCUUGGAGAGCUCUUUUGAGCUCAAACCAGUGGAGAACAAGGUGAGUUCUUCUCCCUUUGAUUUUUUCUCAAUUUUUGAUGAUUUUAGUUGGUUUUGAUCUCUUUUUCCUUCUCCUCCUUGCUCUAUGUUGGUCCUACACCAUUGGAGAAGCUUUGAAGCUUUUGUUGGAGCUUGUUUGGAGGGAGAACUUCAACCCUAGCUGGUUUGGGAGCUUGGUUUGGGACUCUUGUGAGGUUAGUGAGCUUAAUCUCCUCUUUGAUCCAUGUUUUAGUGGAUUUUACUUGUUGGAACCCUAGAAUUGGAACUUAGGGUUUAUUUUGGGGAUUUUGGAUUUGUAGCUUCUAGAACCUAAUUGUGUUAGGUCCUAUGUGUUGGCAAGUUUCGUGGGUUGAGUCGGAGUCUUGAAGAAGUCCGGAGCGGAGUAUUGAAGAUCG
rnacentral:lncRNA from 1 species